AGGGACUUCAAUAUGUUGAUGAACGUCUCUUGGUAUAUUUAGGAAUCCCAGCGGGUCCGGGCAGAAGAAUCCUGCAAGCAUUAAAAUAUAGGAGGGGAUCCCCUCAAGUUGUUUCCAAUUGAAGCGUGAGAGUUUUUGUGAUGAAGAUAGGACAAAGACCUGUGUUAUUUUGGGUGAUAAUGUGGGCAUCUAUAAGCGGUGGCUAAUGAUUUAACUGAAUUUCAACAAAUGAGGAUAGAGGAAAGCUGCAUCUGGGAGGCAGAUGUAUAGUAUAAACUAGAAAGUGGUAUAUAGAUUGAUCAAUUUGAAUGUAUAGGUAGGGCUUGAAUUGUUGGAUGUAUAGAUACUGGUUACUACUACUCUGCUAGUCUGCUUAGCUACUUUGAGAGAACUUGUCCUUUAAAGAAAAGCUAACUUUUUUUUAAUCAAAAAAAUGUUUACUUUACUUGUAUAAAUAUAUAUACAGUCAAGA